AGGAUAAUGGCCUGGCUUCCUCUUUGCCUUGUCCUGUGCAGGUGACCCGGAACCUCCUAACUCCAGAACAGCGUGCUUUUUGUAUGACUCUGUCCGUCCCUCCAGGAAUGAGCUCGAAUGUCACCUUCAGCUGUUAAAAUCCAUUCCCAAGGGGAGAUAUAAGCUGUGUCUGCCCCUUCUCCUGAUGUCCCGAUGAUUCGACUCCACCAAAGUUCACUCGGGGAACCAAUGAGUUUAUUGGGAUUACUUCCAGAGCAUAGCUGCACAGAUGGAGUCUCCUGUAACAGGUCCCUAGACCGUACCACAACUGACUCCAUGAUGGAAGAACCAUUCAGGCUGUAAAACUCAGUAGGUAGAUAAUACCCAUGAAAACAGAAACUUAAUCCACCAAAGUCUAUAGGUUUGGGGAAGUCUCUGAAUGUACUAACCUUGCUUUUUGGCUUUUGUGGUUCUGCUUCUGGUUAACUGUUCUUGUUAACUGAUGUAUGUCAACCCAGAACAUGGUUUUUGUGUUUAAAAGCUCACACUGAGAAAGGGCUAUCCCAGAAUUCCACACACCCAGUGUAGUUAGUAGCCGGUUAAUCAAGACUUUCUACUGGUCUAAACCCCUGUCUGAGCCCUCUUCUCUGGUGCAUACCCCUCACCAUCCCCUUCGUUAGUCUUCCUCGGCCUGUAUACUCUGGCGCCCCCCCUCCCCCCAGGUCACAUGUAAUUAGGACAGCUGUGGUAUGGGGUGGUGAUACUCAGGUGAGGACCCUGUGACCCUCUCUGCUUCCCUGUGGGGAGCUGUAAACAAGCUCAGCUGGGUUGAUCUUUUGGAAGUGGCUCAGCUGAGCUCCCAGAGAUGGUGGCUGUUGGGCCCUGAGAACAGUCAUGCCCAACCCCUUCUCAGAAGAGGUUCCUGGCCACCCUGCCUUCCCAUCACCCCUUAUCACCCCCAUGUACACAUUGCUGCUGCUCUCCUUCCUGAAGCAUAACCUUGAGCUGUGUCUCCAGCUCCUAGAACAAUAGCUGUACAACUCAUGGCUGUUGACCCAACUGAGUGGAAUUAUGGUUUUGGAGCCAGGCUGAUCUUGAAGUAUCGAAUUCUAGCUCUAGUUAGGUAAUAGAAAACCUGCUGAGUUUCCAUUGCUAUGUUAAAACACCAUGACCAAAGGUAGCUUGGGAAGGA